GAACGCUGGCGGCAUGCCUUACACAUGCAAGUCGAACGGUAGAGGGGGCAACCCCUUGGAGAGUGGCGAACGGGUGAGUAAUAUAUCGGAACGUGCCCAGUCGUGGGGGAUAACGUAGCGAAAGUUACGCUAAUACCGCAUACGAUCUACGGAUGAAAGCGGGGGACUCGCAAGAGCCUCGCGCGAUUGGAGCGGCCGAUAUCAGAUUAGGUAGUUGGUGGGGGUAAAGGCUCACCAAGCCAACGAUCUGUAGCUGGUCUGAGAGGACGACCAGCCACACUGGAACUGAGACACGGUCCAGACUCCUACGGGAGGCAGCAGUGGGGAAUUUUGGACAAUGGACGCAAGUCUGAUCCAGCCAUUCCGCGUGCAGGAUGAAGGCCCUCGGGUUGUAAACUGCUUUUGUACGGAACGAAAAGGUUUCCAUUAAUACUAGGAGCUCAUGACGGUACCGUAAGAAUAAGCACCGGCUAACUACGUG
rnacentral:rRNA from 1 species